UGAUUUUUGUUUCGGGCUGUUUUUUUUAUACACUAACAAACAAUGAAAUUGAAAUUAAAGAAAUGCUGUUGUUGGUGCGUCGAUUUGCGCUGUGGCUCUGUCGUAAUCUAUGUGAUCGAGUUCUUUUUUGCUGUCUGCGGUCUUUGCCUGGGUGAAUGGUCUGCAGAUAAUCACUUUUGGAUAGUGUUACGCAUAGGUUAUAUGAUGCACCUGCUUGGCACUGUUUUCCUUCUCAUGGGCAUCAUUUUAAAAUCGCCUGGCUUUUUGAUGGUUUAUUUGGUAACAAAUGGCAUACACGUUUUUACCAGCACCACAUACCUUACUCUCUUGGCUUUGCGAUGUGUUCGUUGUAUCUAUAUUGUUACGUUGUCAACUUUUGGUAUUGUGUGUAGCAUUUAUUCUUGGUUAGUUGUCUAUUCAUUUCGACUCAGAUGUAAAUGGGAACAAUCAAUAGACUAUGAUGGUUCGGCUUUCUAAGCGUAUAUAUAUUAAUAUAUAUUAAAAUGUUUUUUAAUCCAAAAUUCCACAUUUUUUUCACAUUUUAUGUGCAAA